rnacentral:rRNA from 1 species
GAUGAACGCUGGCGGCGUGCCUAAUACAUGCAAGUCGAACGAACAGGCGAUGAUCUUGCUCCGCGGACGUUAGGGGCGGACGGGAGAGUAACGCGUGGAUCACCUACCUAUAAGACUGGGAUAACUUGGGAACACCGGCGCUAAUACCGGAGAAUAUAUUGAACCGCGGGGGUCGAUAGUGAAAGACGGUUGUGCUGGCACUUCUAGAUGGAUCCGCGCCGCAUUAGCUGGUUGGUAAGGUAACGGCUUAUCAAGGCAACGAUGCGUAGACGAGCUGCGAGGGUGAUCGGCCACAUUGGAACUGAGACACGGUCCAGACUCCUAAGGGAGGCCGCAGUAGGCAACCUGCCGCAAUGGGCGAAAGCAUGACGGAGCAACGCCGAGUGAGUGAUGAAGGUCUUCGGAUCGUAAAACUCUGUUAUUAGGGAAGAACAACUGUGUAAGUAAAUAUGCACGUCUUGACGGUACCUAAUAAGAAAGCCACGGCUAACUACGUG